ACGGGAGGCAGCAGUGGGGAAUAUUGCACAAUGGGGGAAACCCUGAUGCAGCGACGCCGCGUGAGUGCAGAAGUUAUUCGUAAUGUAAAGCUCUAUCAGCAGGGAAGAAAAUGACGGUACCUGACUAAGAAGCCCCGGCUAACUCCGUGACAGCAGCCGCGGUAAUACGUAGGGGGCCAGCGUUAUCCGGAUUUACUGGGUGUAAAGGGAGCGUAGACGGCUUAGCAAAUCUGAUGUGAAAGGCAGGGGCUCAACUCCUGGACUGCAUUGGAAACUGUUAAGCUGGAGUGCCGGAGAGGUAAGCGGAAUUCCUAGUGUAGCGGUGAAAUGCGUAGAUAUUAGGAGGAACACCAGUGGCGAAGGCGGCUUACUGGACGGUAACUGACGUUGAGGCUCGAAAGCGUGGGGAGCAGACAGGAUUAGAUACCCUGGUA
rnacentral:rRNA from 1 species